rnacentral:rRNA from 1 species
AUUGAACGCUGGCGGAAUGCUUUACACAUGCAAGUCGAACGGCAGCACGGGGCAACCUGGUGGCGAGUGGCGAACGGGUGAGUAAUAUAUCGGAACGUGCCCAAUCGUGGGGGGAUAACGUAGCGAAAGUUACGCUAAUACCGCAUACGAUCUACGGAUGAAAGCGGGGGAUCGCAAGACCUCGCGCGAAUGGAGCGGCCGAUAUCAGAUUAGGUAGUUGGUGGGGUAAAGGCUCACCAAGCCAACGAUCUGUAGCUGGUCUGAGAGGACGACCAGCCACACUGGAACUGAGACACGGUCCAGACUCCUACGGGAGGCAGCAGUGGGGAAUUUUGGACAAUGGGCGCAAGCCUGAUCCAGCCAUUCCGCGUGCAGGAUGAAGGCCUUCGGGUUGUAAACUGCUUUUGUUACGGAACGAAACGGUACUGCCCUAAUACGGCAGGCUAAUGACGGUACCGUAAGAAUAAGCACCGGCUAACUACGUGCCAGCAGCCGCGGUAA